rnacentral:rRNA from 1 species
UACGGAGGGAGCUAGCGUUAUUCGGAAUUACUGGGCGUAAAGCGCACGUAGGCGGCUUUGUAAGUAAGAGGUGAAAGCCUGGAGCUCAACUCCAGAAUUGCCUUUUAGACUGCAUCGCUUGAAUCAUGGAGAGGUGAGUGGAAUUCCGAGUGUAGAGGUGAAAUUCGUAGAUAUUCGCAAGAACACCAGUGGCGAAGGCGGCUCACUGGCCCGGUACUGACGCUGAGGUGCGAAAGCGGGGAGCAAACAGG